rnacentral:piRNA from 1 species
UACUGUCAUCAUGGUGGGAAACACUGU